AGUGAACGCUGGCGGUAGGCCUAACACAUGCAAGUCGAACGGCAGCACAGUAAGAGCUUGCUCUUACGGGUGGCGAGUGGCGGACGGGUGAGGAAUACAUCGGAAUCUACUUUUUCGUGGGGGAUAACGUAGGGAAACUUACGCUAAUACCGCAUACGACCUACGGGUGAAAGCAGGGGAUCUUCGGACCUUGCGCGAUUGAAUGAGCCGAUGUCGGAUUAGCUAGUUGGCGGGGUAAAGGCCCACCAAGGCGACGAUCCGUAGCUGGUCCGAGAGGAUGAUCAGCCACACUGGAACUGAGACACGGUCCAGACUCCUACGGGAGGCAGCAGUGGGGAAUAUUGGACAAUGGGCGCAAGCCUGAUCCAGCCAUACCGCGUGGGUGAAGAAGGCCUUCGGGUUGUAAAGCCCUUUUGUUGGGAAAGAAAAGCAGCAGGUUAAUACCCCGCUGUUCUGACGGUACCCUAAGAAUAAGCACCGGCUAACUUCGUG
rnacentral:rRNA from 1 species